CUGGCAAGAGACGUGUUGCUGCUGCAGCUGUUCCCCUGCCGCGGGGCCCCUCCCGCGCUCGUACGGAGCUCCCGCCAUGCUGCCCGCAGACCUCGCCGCUGCUUCUCUCCGGCUCGGGCGGCCGGAGCGAGACCGGGAAAGUGAAUUGAGAAGACAGGAUGAAGUGGACACAGCAUGUGAAGACAAUUCUUUCAAGAAGUUUGGCUGUCAAGGAAAAUAGAGAAUGUGAGUAGCCGAAGGAGAAUGACAGGCGAAAGAAAGAAAUUGGGAGCCAGACAAUACAGCCGGACAGUUUACACCUGUAUUGAUGUUCCACCUUUUUCACAAAAGAUUGAGUAUGCUUGGGGAAAAACUACACACUAUCAUAGGAGAAAAUGAUUGGAAGAGAAACUGAGGCAAAGGUAUUAUCAGCAGGCCGUGGUGGCUCACACCUGUAAUCCCAGCACUUUGGCAGGCCAAGGCAGGCAGAUCAGCUUAGGUCAGGAGUUCAAGACCAGCCUGGCCAACAUGGUGCUAAAGACCAUACAGACACAGAGCAGACAGGCCACCUUUGCUACCACAUGGAGGUUUGUCUAAUAUUGAGGCUAAGGAAGCUGAGCUGGAAGACAGAGAGACCAAAUCCUGAUGACAUUGUUUGAACCCAGAGAUCCGGACAUGCCUGAAGACUAGUUUUACCACUGGACUUAUCUGUUAAAUGAGCCAAUAAACUCUCUUUUAUACUUAA